AUGAAGAAGAUCGUGGCGGCGAAUCAAUUGGCCUUUAUUUGUGGGAGACAUUUACAUGAUAACUUCAUUUUGGUGCGGCAAGUGGCUAGGAAGAUUCAUGCUUGGAAGGAGGCGGGAGUGUUUCUAAAACUAGACAUAUCUAGGGCGUUUGAUUCGCUCGCCUGGCCAUUUAUGUUCAAGGUGUUGGCUCACAAGGGAUUCGGUGACAAAUGGCAGGUGUGGGUGUCCAUUCUUCUCAAGAUAGCCACCACGAAAGUCCUGGUGAAUGGGUGUCCGAGAAGAAGUUUCCAGCACGUGCAAGGCCUCAGACAAGGGGACCCAGUUUCACCGUUGUUGUUCGUCAUAGUGAUGGAUGUGUUAUCCAAGAUCAUGACCAAAGCUGUGGUUAUGGGAGUGACGAGUAAAUUCACUGGGAUCUCGGCGGAGCAAAGCGUGUCAAUUUAUGCUGAUGAUGUGGCUUUGUUUGUUAAGCCCACGGUGAUGGAUCUGAGAUUUGUAAAGGAAGCACUGUGGGUGUUUGGGGAGGCGUCGGGGCUGAAGAUCAACUACCAAAAAUCCUUGGCUAUGUUGAUCCAUGGGGAGGAAGCGGAUAGGAGGCGUGUGGAGAUUAUUCUGCAAUGUGAGGUGGGGAAAUUUCCAUGUAGAUACCUGGGUCUACAGCUCGCGAUCCAUCAGCUAAGUAGGGCAGAGUAG
rnacentral:rRNA from 1 species